rnacentral:rRNA from 1 species
UACGUAGGCAGCGAGCGUUGUUCGGAAUUACUGGGCGUAAAGAGUGUGUAGGCGGUGUUCCCAGUCUGUUGUGAAAUCUCCCGGCUUAACUGGGAGGGUGCAGCGGAAACUAGAAUGCUAGAGGGUGGGAGAGGUAAGCGGAAUUCCUGGUGUAGCGGUGAAAUGCGUAGAUAUCAGGAGGAACACCAAUGGCGAAGGCAGCUCGCUGGGACGGUACUGACGCUGAGACGCGAAAGCGUGGGGAGCAAACAGG